GAUGAACGCUGGCGGCGUGCCUAAUACAUGCAAGUCGAGCGAACAGACGAGGAGCUUGCUCCUCUGACGUUAGCGGCGGACGGGUGAGUAACACGUGGAUAACCUACCUAUAAGACUGGGAUAACUUCGGGAAACCGGAGCUAAUACCAGAUAAUAUAUUGAACCGCAUGGUUCAAUAGUGAAAGACGGUUUUGCUGUCACUUAUAGAUGGAUCCGCGCCGCAUUAGCUAGUUGGUAAGGUAACGGCUUACCAAGGCGACGAUGCGUAGCCGACCUGAGAGGGUGAUCGGCCACACUGGAACUGAGACACGGUCCAGACUCCUACGGGAGACAGCAGUAGGGAAUCUUCCGCAAUGGGCGAAAGCCUGACGGAGCAACGCCGCGUGAGUGAUGAAGGUCUUCGGAUCGUAAAACUCUGUUAUUAGGGAAGAACAAAUGUGUAAGUAACUAUGCACGUCUUGACGGUACCUAAUCAGAAAGCCACGGCUAACUACGUG
rnacentral:rRNA from 1 species